AUUGAACGCUGGCGGCAGGCCUAACACAUGCAAGUCGAACGGUAACAGGAAGAAGCUUGCUUCUUUGCUGACGAGUGGCGGACGGGUGAGUAAUGUCUGGGAAACUGCCUGAUGGAGGGGGAUAACUACUGGAAACGGUAGCUAAUACCGCAUAACGUCGCAAGACCAAAGAGGGGGACCUUCGGGCCUCUUGCCAUCGGAUGUGCCCAGAUGGGAUUAGCUAGUAGGUGGGGUAACGGCUCACCUAGGCGACGAUCCCUAGCUGGUCUGAGAGGAUGACCAGCCACACUGGAACUGAGACACGGUCCAGACUCCGACGGGAGGCAGCAGUGGGGAAUAUUGCACAAUGGGCGCAAGCCUGAUGCAGCCAUGCCGCGUGGAUGAAGAAGGCCUUCGGGUUGUAAAGUACUUUCAGCGGGGAGGAAGGGAGUAAAGUUAAGACCUGUGCUCAUUGACGUUACCCGCAGAAGAAGCACCGGCUAACUCCGU
rnacentral:rRNA from 1 species